rnacentral:Y_RNA from 1 species
AGCUCGUCUGAUGGUAGUGGGUUAUCAGAACUUAUUAACAUUAGUGUCACUAAAGUUGGUAUACCACCCCCCACUGCUAAAUAUGACUGGAAAA